GGGACACCUUGCAUGUGAACCCUUUCUUCCACUGGCAAAUCAGUCCAAAGUCUAAAGGGGCUACGGAUAGGGAGAGUAUUAGGAUAUGGAGAAUUCAUGGUCAAAGUCUUGGUGGGCAACUCAACAAGCAGCUGAGCAACCUCAGUUUCUUCGCUAUUAUUUGUGGUGGCUUUAUUCUUACACUUAUCACAUGCAAAUAAUUUCUCACUCUUGACAUACCGCACACAACGUGUAUGUACCCACACACUGCACUCGUCGCAAUUCACCAUUUCCUCUCCAUCAUCAAAAUUGACACCACACACACAAUCCACUGUCCAUGAACCAUCAAUCCAGUCAUCCUGUGGGUUCGCAACAGGAAGCCGGUGAGACCGGCUCUUCAUGGUUGCAAGGUUGGCUCAACCCUAAGCAAGCAGUGGCUUUAGGCCUAAAACAACAAUUACAAAUCUACGAAAGAAGCAAAAAGCCCCAAAUUCAAAUUCAGUUUUAAAAAAAAACGCAAGGAUAUAUAUCAUGAAUGAAUGAGAAUCAAAGGCGCAUAUAUAUACAAAUCCGAAGCACAGAAAACAAAUAAAUUCGAUUAAACGAAGAAGCACAAGUCGAAAUCACACCCAAAAGCAUAGCAAGGACCGAGUAUAAAGAUGAAGGAAAU
rnacentral:misc_RNA from 1 species